GUUCAUCCCCCUUGUCUCCCAAGCAAAGCCUGGCUCUUAAGCAGGCUAGGUCUUCUGGGAAUACCUUGUGGCUGAUUAUACUCGAUCAUGUUACUGACAGACAGCACUCCAUGCCCCCUCCUCCCACAAUGAACUUUCUUUCUUCUAUGCUUUUUCUUUAUGCUCUUAAGGGAAUCACAACAACAUUCACUCCAGCUGGGGAACUGCAGCUGGGUCAUCGUUUAAAACUCAAUCAUCAGGAUCCAAGAGUUGUUACUUCAGCAUGGCCUCCUUCCCUUGACUCCUUCAGCUGUGUAGGACCCCAUGUCGUACUCCAGACAGGCCUAGAGAUCUCUACAUAGCUGAAGCUGAUUUUGAAGUCAUGGCCAUACUCCUGUCUAAACCUCCAAGUGUUGGGAUUACAGCCGCUGUACAAAUGUUGACAGUUUCUCAUCUGAAUCAUCUGCACAGGAUUAAAGGUGUGUGCUACCACAAUUAGCAAUAAAUGCAAAAGAAGACUGUAUCUUUUGGAUGGAAUAUGAAAGCAUGUGAAAACUGUUUUUUUGCAGAAGUUCAGGCUGAUUGGACCAAAGGGUAUACUGUGUGACACACUGCGGCUCCUGAUGCCACUAGGAUAAAUGAAGACAGAGGAGCAAGGUGAUUUUUUUAUUUGUCUUGUUUUAAAUUUAUUUGGGGGGUGUUCUUUUUUGUUGUUGUUGUUGUUGUUGUUUUUGUUUUUCAAGAUAGGGUUUCUCUGUGGCUUUGGAGGCUGUCCUGGAACUUGCUCUUGUAGAUCAGGCUGGUCUCGAACUCAUAGAGAUCCACCUGCCUCUGCCUCCCGAGUGCUGGGAUUAAAGGCAUCUGCCACCACCGGCUUUGGGGAUGUUCUUUUGAGGGAUCUUGCUGCAGGGGAGAGGGACACAUGGAGGGACUGGAAGGUGAGUGGGAUUGGGGUGCAUGAUGUGAUAUUACCAAAGAAUCAAUAAAGAAUUAUACUAAAAAAACAAUUUCCACUUCUCAACUGGAGAAUUUUAUCAUCAACUUAUUUAAUUACUUUAUCUAUUUAAUAAUCUUUUGAAAAGCUAAAAUAUAUUUACUAAAGUUUCUGCCUCCUCUGCAUUGCCAACCCCCUCUCCCCCACACCCCCAUUCUUCCUGAGAUGGAAGAGUUGGCAAAAUAGGGAAGAAAAUAAAAUGGUACAAUAUACUGGACCAGCAAGAUGGCUCAGUGGGAUGCAGCACAGAACUGAUGUCUGUGGAGGCAUUUUCUUAACAAUUAUUAUGGGAGGAACCAGCCCACUGUGGACAAUACUAUAAUGGGCAGGUGAUCCUGAGCUGUAUAAGAAGUCAGGCUGAUCAAGAUAUGUAUGAGUGAAUGUCAGUAAGCAGCAUUUCUCUGUGGCAUCUGUUUCAGUUCCUGCCUUCAGGUUUCUUCCCUGAUUGAAUUUCUGUCCUGACUCCUUCAUGAUGGAUUAUAAACUAUAAAGUGAAAUAAAUCAUUUUCUCCCUGA